rnacentral:tRNA from 1 species
GCCCUGGUGGUGCAAUGGUUAGGCGCUCAGCUGCUAAUUGAAAGGUUGGUGGUUCAAAUCCACCCAGUGGCU